AUUGAACGCUGGCGGCAGGCCUAACACAUGCAAGUCGAGCGGAUGAAGGGAGCUUGCUCCUGGAUUCAGCGGCGGACGGGUGAGUAAUGCCUAGGAAUCUGCCUGGUAGUGGGGGAUAACGUCCGGAAACGGGCGCUAAUACCGCAUACGUCCUGAGGGAGAAAGUGGGGGAUCUUCGGACCUCACGCUAUCAGAUGAGCCUAGGUCGGAUUAGCUAGUUGGUGGGGUAAAGGCCUACCAAGGCGACGAUCCGUAACUGGUCUGAGAGGAUGAUCAGUCACACUGGAACUGAGACACGGUCCAGACUCCUACGGGAGGCAGCAGUGGGGAAUAUUGGACAAUGGGCGAAAGCCUGAUCCAGCCAUGCCGCGUGUGUGAAGAAGGUCUUCGGAUUGUAAAGAACUUUAAGUUGGGAGGAAGGGCAGUAAGUUAAUACCUAGCUGUUUUGACGUUACCAACAGAAUAAGCACCGGAUAACUUCGUG
rnacentral:rRNA from 1 species